CCGCGCUCCCCCCGCGCCGCCGCCCGGCCUCACGGGCCGGCUCCGCCGCUUCCGCCUUCCCCAUGCUGCCGGCGGCGGCGGCGGUCAGAGGGCAGAGGGCAGGGUUCACCCCCUCCCCGCGGCCGGCGGGCGGGCGGUGCUUCCCUUCCUUUCCCCUUCCCUUUUCCCCGGCGGCGGUGCCCGGCCGGGGCGGAAGGGAACGGCCGGCAUUGGGCUGGGUUCCGCCUGAGCGCCGCAGCUCCCUCCGUUCAGCGCUUUGUAGAGCGGAGGGAGAGCUCUGCGCCGCGGGGUGAGAGCUCGGGCCCUUCUCCUGCUGCGAACCGCCUGCGGAAGUUAUGGACCUUGUUUGAUUUUUUACCCACCCCACCCUGACCAUUCUGCUUGAUUUAAAGUAUUCUUCGUUGCUUGAAGUCUAGACUGAGCAUGAUGCACUCGUCAAAUCAAAACAAGAAAUGCAUUUUAGGAAGGAAUAGGAAAUGGACUGGCAGUGUGCAAGAAGGUGCAUUACCUAUCGUUAAUGGAGAGAAAGUAUGGGAAGCUGGGAGCACCAACACUAGAGAACAAACAGAGUGCAAAUAAACACUGUUUUGAGACCAGCAACUCCAGCUUUGUUGGCUUUUCUUCAAUGUUCUGGCCCUUCUUUUCUCAGCUGUCUUCUUCUAGUCCUACACAGGUAGAGAGAGGCAAGGAAAAGGACAAUGCAGAGAGUGAUACAGGAGCUACAAGACUUCCUCACGGAGAAAUACUUCUUAUUGUGAUGUAGUUCUAAGAAUACGCUUUGGAAUUCAGCUUCAAACGUAAUAUUCUGAGCUCAAAAAUCUUCUGAAAGAAGCAAAACCAUGGUAGAAUAUUCUCAGUAUAAGUGGACUUGGACAGAAAACAAGAUGCACUGACGAGAGAAAGUUUAAGUGAUUGUUUAACACAGAACAACAGUGCAUAUCUAUGGUGUAUUUAAUAUGAAUCCAUAAUCCUCAUGUGUGCCAUCUAUCUCUAUUACACAUUCUUCCAAGCAUUCCUGGCCCAAAGGGUCAGUAUUUUAUUUUUUUUUUCCAAAAAAAA
ensembl:lncRNA